rnacentral:rRNA from 1 species
UACGUAGGGUGCGAGCGUUAAUCGGAAUUACUGGGCGUAAAGCGUGCGCAGGCGGUUAUAUGAGACAGUUGUGAAAUCCCCGGGCUCAACCUGGGAAUUGCAUCUGUGACUGUAUAGCUAGAGUACGGUAGAGGGGGAUGGAAUUCCGCGUGUAGCAGUGAAAUGCGUAGAGAUGUGGAGGAAUACCGAUGGCGAAGGCAGCCCCCUGGGAUAACACUGACGCUCAUGUACGAAAGCGUGGGGAGCAAACAGG